rnacentral:lncRNA from 10 species
CUAUCAUGGCUGCAUCUGGGGUUUGGAGUUCACAGAAACCUCUUAAAAAGGCACCCAAUUGCUCAACUUUGCUAAGCAGAUGAAGAGUGAAAUAAAUGUUGCUUCACCAGCUGCUGGAUGGUGGGAUGCAAUGAACCAUCCAACUUGGUGACUAAGGCUCUUUCUAACCAUGGAGUGUGGACAAAGGGAAAGUCUGUCAUCAGCAGACAAAGGGCUGGAAACCAAAUGAAAAUGCAGCAUCUCCAGGCAAUUUCCUUAAAAUGGAUCAACUUGAAACAUUCUCUAUCACAGGACCAGUAGACAGGAGAGGAGCCAAAGAAGGAAGGACUGUGCGUGUCGGAGCAGACAAAGAAUUAAUAAAAGGGUCACUGAACCUGCUCUGAAUCUCAGAUGCAUCCUUCGUGAAGUGAAAAAAGAUUCCCCUGAGCUGCUAAGAGCAAGGAAACACAAUCCGGGCUGAGCUGGAAACUCUAGAUCUGCUACAACCUGGUUAAUUGCUACUGGGCAGAGAGGCAAAGAAUAGAUAAAAAUUUGCAGCUGUAAAAAAAAAAAAAGAAAUCUGAAAGGGAUAGAGCAGCUUAGUAAAAAGAAAGCUGGAAUCUGAAGCCACCUCCAUUCAUUCAUGGAACACCUAUGAGGCGCCUAUUCCCAUAGUGUGGUUCUCUCCUUCCUGUAGCUUUUGGCUAUCAGCUUCAUUUCAUCUAGAUCACAAACAGAACUUUGGCAAAUAGAGACAACAGGGCAACAGCGUGAUGGAGACGAGUGGGCAAGUAGAAAACAGAAGGUUCUUUAGGAAGUCAGGCAUAUGUUUCAGUAGCCUGUGAACCAGC